rnacentral:lncRNA from 1 species
CCAGAUUGGGGGAAUCUGAAGGAAGGCUUCCUCCAUGCCAUUUCACAGUGGUUCCCCGUGGGACGAAGAUCUGUCAUCACAGGGAGUCUGGCUUGACGAGUAAAGAAGUCCCUAGGAGAUGGAGGCAGCAAGACGUGUGAGGCAUUGGAGUGCUGCAUCAGAACUUGCUUGUUUCACACAGCCCUAAUACCCACUCCAUCCUGGGGAGCCUGGACCAGAGUCAGGCAGGGAAAGAGAGAAAGCCAUCACUACCACA